CAAGAACAUGGCAGGGAUUGAAGGGGAAUGCCAACUCAGAAUGACUGGCAGAGAGAUCACAGAGAGAUAUCCAACUGGCUUCAGAACUGUUAACUGAAAAGAUGAUUUACAUCUUAAAAGUAUCAUCGCUGCUUGUAGGGGAACAAAUGGAAGCAGGGAAACCAAUUAGAAAACUACUGAAAUAAUCCAGAUGAAAGCUAACGGUGGCUUUAGUUCUUCCAACUCACUGAGAUGAGCAGUUGGCAUACUAUGAACCAAAGAUGGCCUGCUUCCUGUUUUUGUAAAUAAAGUUUUACAGGAACAUAA